GUUGAAGUAGCGGUGGAGGAGGAUGAGGUAGCCAACACUGUUUUUUACAUAUAUAUAUAUUUUUUUUUUUUAAUUGGGGUAGCCCCCAAAAUAUUGGGACAUAUAAAAAAAGAAAAACUCUGUUCCACAAAGUAGCUGAUGACAUUAUAGUUGCGCAGGCACUUUGUUGACUCUAGAGAACCUCAGGCCAAUCGCACAUUCCCGUGACGGCAACUUUGCAUUCGGAUGUCAUCCAUAUCAACUUUCAAUGCCAGUGUCUGCACCUACCAUGGUGACCACAGGUAACAGGGAAUCAGGGUUCCAUUCCGUACAGGGACCCUGAGAAACAGCUACCACAUGAAAGGAAGGCAGCAGGCACGCAAAUGACCCACUCCCGACACGGGAAGGUAGUGACGAC